rnacentral:rRNA from 1 species
AUUGAACGCUGGCGGCAGGCCUAACACAUGCAAGUCGAGCGGGGUUUUCGGACCUAGCGGCGGACGGGUGAGUAAUGCGUAGGAAGCUACCCGAUAGAGGGGGAUACCAGUUGGAAACGACUGUUAAUACCGCAUAAUGUCUACGGACCAAAGUGUGGGACCUUCGGGCCACAUGCUAUCGGAUGCGCCUACGUGGGAUUAGCUAGUUGGUGAGGUAAUGGCUCACCAAGGCGACGAUCCGUAACUGGUCUGAGAGGAUGAUCAGUCACACUGGAACUGAGACACGGUCCAGACUCCUACGGAGGCAGCAGUGGGGAAUAUUGGACAAUGGGCGAAAGCCUGAUCCAGCCAUGCCGCGUGUGUGAAGAAGGUCUUCGGAUUGUAAAGCACUUUAAGUUGGGUAGGAAGGGUAGUAACCGUAAUAACGUUGCUACUUUGACGUUACCGUACAGAAUAAGCACCGGCCUAACUU